rnacentral:sRNA from 1 species
CACGUAGACAUUGUGCGCACACGCAUGCAUGCAUGCACACGCACACGCAUGCAUGCAUGCACACGCACACGCAUGCAUGCAGAGCACACGCACAUACUCACACACAUACACGCAACGAAUGUGAUAGAGAGAGAUAAAGGGAUUCCUGAGGGAUUUCUUCAUACUUU